AUCGCAAUGCCCUCUGCUUUAAGUAAUGCGAAACGUACCUUGUGUUUUCCUCGCUGUUUUUGUGUGUUUUUCUUGGUUUUAAAUGUUAUUUCUUGGUUUAUUUUUCACAUAAUCAGUGAAUUAUUUCGUGUUAUUGUUUUUUCGCUUACUGUUAAUGCGUUUUAACGUUUAUUUGGUGUGAAAACAUAGUUAUUAUGUCAAAAGGACGCCACGACGUACACAAAGCUAAGUUCAGAUGAAUCGAGGCUCUACAUCGAGAUACUUCUAUUAAGGCUACGAUGUGGGCAGAACAAUGAAGUAACAACCGAAAUAAUGGAUGAAAUGACUUUUGUGCUACAAAGAAAAAUCAGUUCAAACGUCGUACAGUCAAAGUCUAAAAUAGAGAAACACGCUACGGGGCGGGCAAAGAACUAAUGUUGGAUGGCAUGAUGAAAUGUGACAGUUCAUUAUGCGGAAGAUAACGGACGCCACAGCAUACAGUGAACAAUUGCAGUGAAGAGGGGAGUGGUCGAGAUGUCAGGCCGUGUUGUGAGUUGAAUUAUGGCGUUGUACGAAUUAAACGCGUCGUGUGAAAAUGGAAAAGUUUUUUGGAAACGAGGGCUUCUGAGAAGAUGUUCGUGAGUUUCAACGAUUCCACAAAAAGAAAGUCCACACCACGAAGCAGUUGGGAUUCAUAUUUAUCACUUCACAGCUGCGCACCUAUGAUCGAUCUCAUCCAAGAUGGCGGCGGGCGCGCCGCGCGAACAGGCGGGAAACAAGCGCAUGCACACCUCCUCCUAUAACGGACCCGUCAAUCUCCCGGCACAUAUGAAAUUAGAACACUUUAUUCUUAUAUAAAAUGAGUUCAGCGCAAAAUACGUGCUGUCUCGCGGACGGUAUGCGUUGCACUAAAUUAACAAAAAACAGUUUUAACGUAUUCAAAACUUGAAACCCAUAAAACAUAAUCUCCCCCAUUAUUAGUUUAUGGCUUGCGACUGUUACGGGGCCUAUUAUGCUGUUAUUUUUCUGUGUAUUGGUGUUUGUUUUGACUGUAUAGCGGUCUGGGUUGCCCAAUGUGGGGUACCAUUACAGAAUGCUUCUAUUGAGUAGGUGCCUGUUAUCCGUUUUUAAGUGACUCUAUUAUCAUACUUGUUUUUGUGUUCCGUUCCAUUCUACUUUUACUGGAAACAAAACGACGAUACGAGUAUGUUGUUUGAUUGGAAUUGUACAAUUUAAAUUAGUUGCAGUAUGUUUUUUUAUAAUGAUGAAUUUAUUUUAAUAUUCAAUAAAACAAUAUAAAUGUUAAUUACUUUAAAAUAAGAAAUAAAUCAACCAAACAUCUUAUAUUAAACUUUUAAAGAAAACUACUUGCAUAAAUAAAUAUAAUAUACAUAAAGAUUAAGACAAACUCGAAAUUCUGUAAUUUUUGUAACUUAACUAAAAUAUUCCGUGCGAAGUAGAGCCACAUUCGUGGCGUAUCACUGAUCGAAUGCGCGCUCACGAGUUCACAACACUACGAAUACGAUAGCAACUUAUUGUAUAAUUAUUAUGUAGUUAUGUACCAUUUGUGCAUCGAAUUCCAAUUAAUUUUAUCGACUUUUCUAAGAAUAUUUUAAUAUUCGCCAUUGUUUUGAAUAAUUACUCAUGUUAUUGACAUUCAAUGUUUUACUUUACAAAUAUUUAAUCAUUAUAGAAAAAGAAUAGAGAGGAUAAGACAUUUGAAACUAAAAUUCAAUUAUUUUUUAUUUAAAAUUUUAAAAUGUUACUUUGUAAAAGUGUUUAUUGGAAAGAUAUCGUUUAAAUUAAUAUACAAACAAGUAUAAAAUCGAAAUGAAGCGUGUAACUACAGAAUACUUUGCAAGUAAGUAACUUGUGAUUACAAUACCUCAUUUCCCUUUAAUAAAGGUACAUUUAAAAUCAUUCCGUGCCCUCGGCAAGGAGCAGUCGCCAAUUUGGAAACUUGUUUAGAAAUUAUAGGUUCGACUCUUGGUAAGGUUAGGUUGAGUUUAAACUUGAAUGUACUGAAAAAGAAUGCAAACAAAUUCGGCGUUAUAAUGCGCUCACAGGGAAGGGAGUGUAUUUAUCGAUAUUUUUUGUAGUUAGUGAAAGAAAAAUUGUUUUUUGUAAUUUUUGCCUUAGAUUUUGAUUGAAUAUUGUAAAAAUAAUGCAUUAUAAAAGGUAAUGUAAAAAGAUUUUACUUAAAAUCUUCGUCAUAUAAAAUUGUACUCAAAAUAAUCUUUUCAGAGUAGCUUUAUUUAUAAUUUUAUUACUGAAUAUUAUUACCUACAAUCAAUGUAAGUUAGUUAUUAGUAUAAACUGUUUCUUUACCUAGAUUAUCUACGACUUUUUAAUAACAGAUUAUUUGUACCCAUUUUUGUUACAUAACCGGUAAAAAUGACAAGCAUUUACUGGGCCUGACUAAUUGUUGAAACUGACAUUUUGCAUUUUAAUAUUUGUUUACAUUCCAAUUUGAUUGAUACUUCUGUUGCAAUUUGAUAUUUCUGUAAAUGAUUGCUUGUUAGUUUAAUAACCUAUUUAUUAAGUACUAGAUCUAGUCAUUGACUUAGUUACUUAUAGCUAGUUAUUAAGGUAUUGAAAAUUAUCUGUCACUAUUCCGAAAAUAUAAAUAUUGUCGGGUUUUAUAAAAAUGUUAAACUGUAAUAUCUACAUUAAUAUCAUCGUAAUAAAUUUAUGACAAAGAAUAAAAGAUAAGAUAUGUGGAAUAAUAGAAAAUAAUGGAAAAAUGAUAUAAAAUGUAAUGUAAUAAUACUUUUUUUUUGUCUUCUACAGGACAUUCACAGCAUAGAGACACGUGACAUUUUUUCACGAUAGCGAACACAGGUCGGCAGAUCGUGUUCGCGGCGGACAGCGGACAGGCCGGACAAGCCCGAACUUUUCAUACAGCCCACGUCCAACAAGCGUCCUUGUAUUGUUUCGCGGGCCGUGUUGCGUGAACACCGAGUGAAAUAUGGCCGACAGUUCGACUACUUAUUUUUGUUUUAUUUUUUUAGCCCGUGUUACUUAAUUUUAUCAAGUCGCAUGAGUUAUGAGAGGCGGGACCACACGCGUUGCGUUAAUUACGCGUUAGUAAUGUACAGGUGAGUCCCUCAUGCUGCGGCCAUGAUUGAUUCCAAGACUAAAUUCAAAUACAUAAUUUGAAUGUGGUUCCAUUCCAACCAGUUAUGAAAUGGGAUAUUCCAAAUAGAAUUUAGGUACAAUUGGAACGUCUCUAUUUGAAAUCUAACGUCCAAUUAGAUUUUACAAAAACCAAAUCCCAUAAGUUUUAAUUGGAAUUUUAUUCAGUGAUGGUUUGGUUGUAAUAAAUAUAUGAGUGCGUAAAUGUUAAUUUUUGCGACAUCGUCUCCAUAUCACUUAAGGUUUCGUUAGCAGAAUAUUAGUGACUACUAAUUAUCUAGUUUUGUGCUUUCAUCUAAGGAAUCGGACGUAUAAUCGAGUGGUCAUUUGUCGAGUGGUCAGUGGCACUCCUCAAGUUAAUAAUAAUGCGCCCAAACUAGAUCGGGCCAUUGACCCGACCGCUCGGCGCGGGCGCGCCGUGUACUCCCGCCAUAAUUUUGAGCGCUAAAAUGCUACUGAAGACGUUCUGUUAAGAUUGUAUACUAAAUCAUUAACAUUUUUUUUUUUAUUAACAAUAAAAUAUAGUCAGAGAAAAUAAAACUAUUUUAUAAUGUUACAAAAUGUAU